rnacentral:rRNA from 1 species
UACAGAGGUCCCAAGCGUUGUUCGGAUUCACUGGGCGUAAAGGGUGCGUAGGUGGUGAGGUAAGUCGGAUGUGAAAGCUCGGAGCUCAACUCCGAAAUGGCAUUGGGAACUACCUUGCUCGAGGGUUGGAGGGGGGACUGGAAUACUUGGUGUAGCAGUGAAAUGCGUAGAUAUCAAGUGGAACACCAGUGGCGAAGGCGAGUCCCUGGACAACUCCUGACACUGAGGCACGAAAGCUAGGGGAGCAAACAGG